rnacentral:rRNA from 1 species
UACGAAGGGUGCAAGCGUUACUCGGAAUUAUUGGGCGUAAAGCGCGCGCAGGCGGUCCUUUAAGUCUGAUGUGAAAGCCCACGGCUCAACCGUGGAGGGUCAUUGGAAACUGGGGGACUUGAGUACAGAAGAGAAGAGUGGAAUUCCACGUGUAGCGGUGAAAUGCGUAGAGAUGUGGAGGAACACCAGUGGCGAAGGCGACUCUUUGGUCUGUAACUGACGCUGAGGCGCGAAAGCGUGGGGAGCAAACAGG